CCAGUGCUACCAGGUAAUGCUGGGCACUCUGGUGAGACUGCCCGGUUAACGGGGAGGGAAGGUGGGGACGACGUCAAGUCAUCAUGGCCCUUACGCCUAGGGCUACACACGUACUACAAUGGCGCAUACAAAGGGCAGCGAUACCGCGAGGUGGAGCCAAUCCCAAAAAGUGCGUCCCAGUCCGGAUUGCAGUCUGCAACUCGACUGCAUGAAGUUGGAAUCGCUAGUAAUUCGAGAUCAGCAUGCUCGGGUGAAUGCGUUCCCGGGCCUU
rnacentral:rRNA from 1 species